rnacentral:rRNA from 1 species
GGGUCAGUAGGUUGGUCGUGCCACCGGUACGUACUGGUCUCACUGACUCCUCCUUCCUGAAGAACCGUAAUGCCAUUAAUUUGGUGUUGCGGGGAAACAGGACUGUUACUUUGAAAAAAUUAGAGUGUUUAAAGCAAGCUAACGCUUGAAUACAUUAGCAUGGAAUAAUGAAAUAGGACGAUCGAUCCUAUUUUGUUGGUUUCUAUGAUUGACGCA